UGAUGACUGAACCGGGUGAUAAUCUAAACAAAAAGAAUUCUCAGCCAUCCUUGUAGCCGUUUCUAUCUCUUCGUAUUGACUCAGACAUUCUAAGCUUCAUAGUGACACAAACAGAGUGACAAUCCUAUCAGCCAUUACAGGGCUACCAAUUCAGAUGAAGACUCUUCUCCUUGAUUUGUGUCCUAUGUGGAUUAGAUUUAAACAUGCUUUGAUUUAAACAACUUUGACCUUUACUACUGUGAAAGGAGAGCCGAUGUAGGAAGAGUGGGAUGGAUUACCACAGCUCCUCCAGGAUGUAAAAAAUAGUGGAUGGAGGCUGUUUGAUUAUUGAUUACAUGAUCAUUGCCCGAAAGAGAACAGAAUAGCAGGGUCUGGACAUAAGUCAAACUUGCUGAGGUGAUCACAGUUGAUACACAGAACACUACAACCUGCCACCUCAUCUGAGCGUGGGAGAAUUGGAUGAUUCCAUCCCAAGAGGAAGGCGACAGUCUGAGGGCUGAGACCUAGAGGGCGUGCACAUGGAAAACACCAGGAGGAGUCAGAGGUACAGUCUGCCUGGGAAUUAACAGCAUGUUCAAUAAAUCUGAAGAUGAAUGGAAGGAAAAGGGAUUGGGUGAUUAUUUGAAAGAAAGGAUCAAGAGUGGGUUGUUUUAAACUAGAGAAGACCAAAGCAUGUCUGUACUGGGAGGGAAAGGAACCAGGUGAGAGCGAGAGGCUGACAAGAAGAAAGAGAGGCGGUUAGAGCUCAGCAGGAGAAAGAGAAAUUAGCAAACAAGAAGGAUGGGUCACUUGGUCUCUUCUAUUCAGUUUGUCUUUUCUGUCCUCUCCCAACAAAGGAUGAAAUGUUCCGGGGCUGCUCAGAGAUCCUGACAGAAAGACUAGUAUGAAACUGUUUGUGUCACUCUGGUGUUAUAGAGGAAGGAUAGUGUGCUGCAGCAGUACAGGCACAAUCCUUCUAUGUGAGAGUUUACCAAGAAGUGGUUUCUGUACUCAUAUGGAGCAAGAAACUUUCCUACACUCCUGAACUUAAUUUAACUCUGAGUAAUGAAAUUUAAUCUUCGUAUACACAAACACACAUCUUAAACAUUCAUAUCCAUCCCAAAAGCAACAAAGUAACACACACAUCAUGUGAAACUAUUACAGAAAAAAUGUUCUCUGAAGACCAGAGUUUUAAACACUAAAACCAUCGUCAGUGACAAGGAGCUUAGUAUUCUGCACUGGACAUUUUCCAACAUAAGACCUAUAAUUUGGUACAACUUAAAUUAGCCAUCCGGGUCCUAUGAAGUCAGACGACAGAAAUAUCAAGGAUGUUACAGUUCCAGGAGCAUCAAGAGGGGCCCUGUUUCUAGAGUUCAAAGCUUUCCCAUUUAGUGGUGUCUCCUUCCCUGACCCAUUCUACCACCGACUACAGUUUGUCCAGAGCACAAUCCCUUAAACCCCAAUCAAGGUAUUUGCUCUGAUUCAAGUGAAAUUGCAGAGGCACGAAACAGAGAAACCAGGAAUGAGGAGGAGUGAGGGAAGCAACAUGGGGGCACUUUCUUACCAAAUACCAGGGCACUCAUUUAUACAAA